rnacentral:rRNA from 1 species
GUAGGGUGGGCAAGCGUUGUCCGGAAUUAUUGGGCGUAAAGCGCGCGCAGGCGGUCCUUUAAGUCUGAUGUGAAAGCCCACGGCUCAACCGUGGAGGGUCAUUGGAAACUGGGGGACUUGAGUACAGAAGAGGAAAGCGGAAUUCCAAGUGUAGCGGUGAAAUGCGUAGAGAUUUGGAGGAACACCAGUGGCGAAGGCGGCUUUCUGGUCUGUAACUGACGCUGAGGCGCGAAAGCGUGGGGAGCAAACAGGAUUAGAUACCCUGGUAGUCCACGCCGUAAACGAUGAGUGCUAAGUGUUAGGGGGGUUUCCGCCCCUUAGUGCUGCAGCUAACGCAUUAAGCACUCCGCCUGGGGAGUACGGCCGCAAGGCUG